rnacentral:rRNA from 1 species
CCCUUAGAUGUUCUGGGCCGCACGCGCGCUACACUGACGAAUGCAACGAGCUUAUAACCUUGGCCGAAAGGUCUGGGUAAUCUCCAAAUUUCGUCGUGAUGGGGAUAGAUUAUUGCAAUUAUGGGUCUUCAACGAGGAAUUCCUAGUAAACGCAAGUCAUCAGCUUGCAUUGAUUACGUCCCUGCCCUUUGUACACACCGCCCGUCGCACCUACCGAUUGAAUGGUCCGGUGAAAUCUCGGGACGGCGGCUUGGUCGCUUGCGUCCGACUGCUGAAACUUGAUUAAACCAUAUCAUUUAGAGGAAGGUGAANUCGUAACA